rnacentral:sRNA from 1 species
CCUCGGGCUGACGCCCGAGGCUACGUUCUGCCGCCCUCCGGGCG